rnacentral:rRNA from 1 species
AGAUUGAACGCUGGCGGCAGGCCUAACACAUGCAAGUCGAGCGGUAGAGAGGUGCUUGCACCUCUUGAGAGCGGCGGACGGGUGAGUAAUGCCUAGGAAUCUGCCUAGUGGUGGGGGAUAACGUUCGGAAACGGACGCUAAUACCGCAUACGUCCUACGGGAGAAAGCGGGGGACCUUCGGCCUCGCGCCAUUAGAUGAGCCUAGGUCGGAUUAGCUAGUUGGUGAGGUAAUGGCUCACCAAGGCGACGAUCCGUAACUGGUCUGAGAGGAUGAUCAGCCACACUGGGACUGAGACACGGGCCCAGACCUCCGUAACGGGGACGCAGGC